GAAAGCCGUAUGAGGGAAAACUUCAUGUACGGUUUGAUGAGGAGGGGCUGGAUAAGCCAGUCCUUUACUCUAU
rfam:Clostridium formicaceticum strain ATCC 27076, complete genome.